CGCAAAAUUAUUACAGUUUUACUGGUAGUAGAAAUUCAUUCGUUACGCCAUUGGCGACGCUACAUAGUGGAGCCACCUACGAGCAAAUAGUAAAACUUGUAACUAAAGCAACCUGGCGCUGGGACUCAUCAAAGUCGCGAAGCAAUGCAGUGUGUGGUUUCUUUAGCCAUAACAAUCUCUGCGUUGUUUUAAUUUUCUUUAGUGUUAUUGUUCUGCCUAAAUAACUGUUUUGUUUGUAAUGAAAUGUGCGGUUUUAUGAGAGUUUUUCGUGAAAUAUCAAUGAACUACUGGCAUAUAUUGAAACUUGUAGCUAAAGCAACAUGGCGCUGGGACGCUUUAAAAUCGUAUAAUGACGCUGUGCGUGUUUUUCUUUAAUAUUUCCCUAUGCAGGGAAUGCUCGGUCAUUUCAGUUUUCUUUGCUGUAAUUCUUGUGCCUAAAUAAUUAUUGUGUGUGAAAAAUAUCGGUGUGUGCGGUUUUGUUUUUUUCGGUAAAUAUCAAGAAAUUACAUUCUUGCCUGGCGUGAUAGCUAUGAUGCAUUAAAUAAAGCUGUGAUAGCAUCAACGUAUUUGAAGCAUUCGUUUUCUGUGUUUCCGUCUUACGUAACUAAAAGGAGAGUCAUGAAUAUAGUUAAAAUGCAGUUUCAAGCAGACGUUUUUGUAAUCUCCAGUUCUGGCUUAAUAUUAAAGCCGGGCAGAAAAUUACAGCAGUGAAUGUGUCGAGGGACACGUGACAGAAGCCUCCGGCACUUAAAUGACACGGACGACUGGCUCUUAUCAUUACCAGCUGCAAACCAAUUCGCAAGCUCCUUCCGACGUCAUCGUAAGGGGUAUUUGCCCAAUUAGCGUUGUAAGCAGCAUCGGCAAUACCACCACUUUCAAUGAUGAUCUCGUGGCACGUUGACGUGAAUAACAGCAAUUGGGCGAAGCAACCCGAAGUGUGGGCGAUAAAUAUAAGACGUCUGAUUAUGGAACCAUGAGUCUGUGUAAGGAAUCUUGUGCCAAUUUGCAUUGUACGCGCCGUCUGCCACUUCCAGACUUCGCAUGAUGACUUGAUGACAGACCCAGGAGAACAAAAAGAAUUGGCAAUUUAUUGCGAGAAAAUAUUCGCAACAUAGCAGCUUUCU